rnacentral:rRNA from 1 species
UGGUGGAGUGAUUUGUCUGGUUGAUUCCGUUAACGAGCGAGACCUUAACCCUUAAAUAGUCACGCGAAUCACCUGCUUGGGUGAAGCUGGUGCGGCAGUCAGGCUUAACCGCCGGGCUCCUUGCUGGUGGAUCCCUUGGUGCUAUUCGUGGAUGAACUUCUUAUGGGGACUCCUGGCAUCCAGUCAGGGGAAGUUUGAGGCAAUAACA